GACUGAAGAGUUUUCGUAAGCAUCAGAUCUUAUGGGAGGCAUGAUCUUAAAUGUGAGUAAAAGAAAAUUAGAGGAGAUUCAAUGUCUUAGACUCUAUAGCCUGAAAUAGAAUAACAAGAAUGGGAAACAUUUCUAAUUGUCUUGUAGGCUCUACCUUAUAAGUGUCGCGUGCUACACACCCAUAAAAGGGAAUCCAGUUGACACAACUUUAUGGAAACUCAAUUUAACAUGAAU
rnacentral:lncRNA from 1 species